rnacentral:tRNA from 1 species
GCGCGGGUGGCGGAACUGGUAGACGCAGGAGACUUAAAAUCUCUCGGCCCGCAAGGACCGUCCGGGUUCAAGUCCCGGCCCGUGCA